AUUGAACGCUGGCGGCAGGCUUAACACAUGCAAGUCGAGCGGAAUGAUGGUGCUUUCACUAUCACGGAGAGUGGGGCAGGUGUGUAAUGCUUAGGAAUCUGCCUAUUAGUGUGGGACAACAUGUCGAGAAAGAUGCGCAAACAGCAUAGUUCCUACGGGAGAGAGCAGGGGAUAUCGUGUGACCUCGCGCUAAUAGAUGAGCCUAAGUUGGAUUAGCUAUGUGGUGGGGUAAAGGCCUACCAAGGCGCAGGUCUGUAGCGGGUCUGAGGGGAUGGUCCGGCACAAUGGGGCUUAGAAACGGGCCAGACUCCUACGGGAAGCAGCCGUGGGGAAUAUUGGACAAAGGGGGGAAACCUGGUCCAGGCAUGCCGGGUUUGUGAAGAAGGCCUUAUGGUUGUAAAGCACUUUAAGCGAGGAGGAGGAUCUUUUGGUUAAUACCCAAGAUGAGUGGACGUUACUCGCAGAAUAAGCACCGGCUAACUCUGUGCCAGCCGCCGCCGUAA
rnacentral:rRNA from 1 species